rfam:Xenopus laevis strain J chromosome 1L, whole genome shotgun sequence.
AUACUUACCUGGCAGGGGAGAUAGCAUGAUCACGAAGGUGGUUCUCCCAGAAUAAGGCUUGUUCAUUGCACUCCGGCCGAGCUGACCCCUGCAAUCUCCCCAAAUGCAGGAAAUGUGGACUGCAUAAUUUCUGGUAGUGGGGGACUGCAUUCGCGCUUUCCCCUG